rnacentral:rRNA from 1 species
UACGUAGGGCGCAAGCGUUAUCCGGAAUUAUUGGGCGUAAAGAGCUCGUAGGCGGCUCGUCGCGUCGACCGUGAAAACCCGCGGCUUAACUGCGGGCUUGCGGUUGAUACGGGCGGGCUAGAGUUCGGUAGGGGAGACUGGAAUUCCUGGUGUAGCGGUGAAAUGCGCAGAUAUCAGGAGGAACAUCGGUGGCGAAGGCGGGUCUCUGGGCCGAUACUGACGCUGAGGAGCGAAAGCGUGGGGAGCGAACAGG